AAUGCUUGUUGGACCAUCAAAGGCACUUUUCAUGGAUGAAAUAUCGACUGGAUUGGACAGUUCCACGACAUAUUCCAUCGUGAAUUCCCUAAGGCAAUCUGUUCAAAUCUUGAAGGGAACUGCUGUUAUUUCUCUGUUGCAGCCUGCCCCCGAGACCUACAACUUGUUUGAUGAUAUCAUUCUGAUAUCGGAUGGGUACAU
rnacentral:misc_RNA from 1 species